rnacentral:tRNA from 1 species
GGGCCCAUAGCUCAGUCGGUUAGUAGCACCUGACUCAUAAUCAGGGGGUCGUUGGUUCAAGUCCAACUGGGCCCA